GGUAAAGGAAUAUGGAAGAUUUAAAAAGAGUUGUUAGGUUGAUGUAACAAACUUUUCGGCUUAAAAGUAAAGGUUAUUUGAAAGUUUGGCGUGGGACAAAAAUAGUUUAAGAAGCUGAUGUAAUUAUAUCUGGAUCUAUUCUGAUUAACUGCAGAAUGAAACUUUUACUAGCCACCAUUCUUUCCCUCUUCUUAUUGCAGACUUUUGGUAUACCAUUAUCAUAGAAAACAAGGUAUAUGACUAUGGAUCAACAGUUGGAAUGUUAUAACUGCGGCUCAUUUGGAUGGGAUGUGGAAUCUUGUAACAAAACUUCAGUAUGUCCGCCAAAUAACGCAUGCUUCCUCUCAUUCAGUACUACAGGUAUGAGUGGAAAUUAUAAUCUCAGUUGCAUUGAUAACAAGAUGAGUACAAUAGGUAUAUAUGGAAAUUAUAAUCUCAGUUGUAUUGAAAACAAGGUGAGUACAAUAGGUAUAGAUGGAAAUCAUAAUCUCAGUUGCAUUGAUAACAAGGUGAGUACAAUAGGUAUAUAUGGAAAUUAUAAUCUCAGUUGUAUUGAAAACAAGGCGAGUACAUUAGGUAUAUGUGGAAAUUAUAAUCUCAGUUGCGUUGAAAAAAAAAUGAUGAGUACAGUAGGUAUAUGUGGAAAUUAUAAUCUCAGUUGUAUUGAAAACAAAGCGAGUAAAAUAAGUAUAUGUGGAAAUUAUAAUCUCAGUUGCAUUGAAAAAAAAUGAUGGGUACAGUAGGUAUAUGUGGAAAUUAUAAGCUCAGUUGCAUCGAAUCAAGGUGAAUACUACAGACUUGUGUAGAAAUUAUAACCCAAGAACUUUCAUUGAUAAUAAGAUGAGUCCUAUAGCUAUGUGUGGAAAUCAUGAUUUCAGUUGCGUUGAUAACAAGAUAAGUAAUACAGAUAAUGUGUAGAAAUUCUAACGUCAGUUACAUAGGUAAUAAGGCGAGUACUACAAGCGUUUGUGACAACCACGGUUGUAUAGAUAAAGUAGAAAGUACUGCAGGUAUGUGUAGAAAUCCAAGUUGCAAAAAUAACAAGGUAAGUACUGAGUGUAUGAGUGGCUACCUCAGUUACAUUAAUAACGAGGUGAGAAACUGGACCCAGUUUCACGAAAAAAAAACGUAAGUAAUUAAUUAGUUAUGUCUGUUAUUUUAAAAUUGUUCUGUUGCUCAAGUUAUUGCAGUUAUUUAAUGUUAAUUUUUCCAAAACAAAGUGUUUAUAGCUAAAUUAUACUGUGGUUAGUAGUAUUUGUCUGCAGUACUUGUUUCAGACAUGCAGUUAUUAAAUUUCUAUUUUAGCAUGAUAUAAGGAACAUAAGUAUUUGCUUAAGUAUAUUUCUGACUUCUAUACUUCGUUUUCUGUAAAAUUCAGAAUUUUUAUAUUUUGAUAUAUGAAGUAAUCAUAUAAAAAUCUGAUUUAGAUGAAAAAACUACAUUAAAGAUGCAUCAGGGGUAAAAACAGGCAUUUGAAGUAACAGACUUAACUAAGUAAUUACUUAAGUUUAUUUGUGAAUUUAGGGCCUGGUAUUAUUUGCGACCUCAGUUGAACAGAUAUUAAGGUAAGUUCUACAGGUAUAAUUGGACGUUACACAUUCUUUUGCAUAGAUAACACAUUGCGAACCACACAUACUAAUGAAGGUUACAACUUCUGGUGCAUGAAUAACAAAGCGAGAACUACAUGUUACUGUGGAAAUUACAUCCUCAGUUUGAUAGAUGACUGGAGAUUGCAUACAGUUGUUGAAUUCUCAUUUACCUGUUACAUAAUCAUCACGCAAUAUGGAUAAUAAAAAUAGUAUACAAUGUUUCAAACAAUUUAAAAGAUUAUUCUAAACUUUUGGUUGCUUUUUUAUUGUUUCUACAUUAUAUUGACAUAAUUUGUGAAUAUGUUACUGAUGCGAAGACAGACAUUAUAAGCAUUUAUAAGCGGGUUGUUCUCAAUAAUAGGAAAACACAGACAUGACUUGCUAUUUCUUCUUAUGACUAGGGCAAGUAUAUAUGUUAAUUGAAUGAAAUUGAAUUUUCUAGAGUUGUGCCGGGACCCUAAAAGAAAGGAGAAAGUAUACGUUCCGUUUUAUCGUUUCGAGUGUUGUUACACCAACCGAUGCAACAAACACUGGGUAUAAAUAUAGGAGUUAUGAGUGAGAGUCAUCCAUUUCAGGCAAAGAGUGCCUUAAUAACCUUUACAUUGCUACAAACAUUUAUUUGACUAUUAUCGAUACAAUAUGUUUGUUUUUUUUUCCGUUUCUGCUAUGUAUCCUACCCUGGAUGAGUUUUAUAUAGAGAACUUCGAAUGCAGUAGAUUAGUAGCUAUGUAGCAGAAAAUUCAAAUAUAGAAAUGAAUAUUAUUUUGAAUACUGUUGUAAAUAUCGUUAUCAUGUUUCCACGUAUGUAUAGGGGAGAUAUUGUGUCUGCUAGUCUGUCUGACCGUCUGUCAUAGAAAGUUUGUCCAGUGAAAUAGAAUGAAGUAGAAUUUCAACUUGACACUGUAGUACCAAUGCUAGUUUUGAAUAUUGUCAGCAGUUGCCUUGAAUGAUCUUUACUGGAAUAAUAGCCCCUAAAAUGACAUUAAUGGAGGAAAUUUACAUGCUUGUGGUAAAAAAGCGUGCCAUAUGAUACUAGUACAUUUGACUCACAACGUUCUAUAGCCUGAAGAAACCUUAUCCAAAAAAACUUUAAGGGGUCGCCGUAAGGUCUUUUACGUCAUAAAAUGAUAGCCUGUAGUCAGAAAAAUUACUCCUAUCGUUUUGAGCCAACAGGCCAAGGACACUGAUUUUGAGACUAAAAAUUAAAAAAGGAGGUAGGUUACCUUGUUACCAGGGUAAAUUCAAAUUAGUUGAAUCGAGCAUUUGUUUUGUAUUUCGUGUAAUUUGAUGUUUUAGCUGCUACAAUCUCAAUUGAGUUUAUCUCUGUCCCUUCAAGUACAAUUUUUA